rnacentral:tRNA from 1 species
GGGGUUAUGGCUCACAUGGGAGAGCACCCAACAAGUACAAGGCUCUGAGUUCAAAUCCCAGUAACACCA